GAGGGGGGUGUAAGCGUUAUUCGGAAUUACUGGGCGUAAAGGGUGCGUAGACGGGCGCGUUAAGUCUGUUGUUAAAUUUUUCGGGCCUAACCGAAAAGCUGCAAUGGAAACUGACGUGCUAGAGAAUGAGAGAGAGAAGUGGAAUUCCCGGAGUAGCGGUAAAAUGCGUGGAUCUCGGGAGGAACACCAAUGGCGAAGGCAGCUUCUUGGCUCAUUUCAGACGUUGAGGCACGAAAGCGUGGGGAGCAAACAGGAUUAGAUACCCUGGUAGUCCACGCCGUAAACGAUAAUCACUAGACGUUAGUCCGGCUUUGCUGGAUUAGUGUCGUAGCUAACGCGUUAAGUGAUUCGCCUGGGGACUACGAUCGCAAGAUUA
rnacentral:rRNA from 1 species